UACGGAGGGGGCAAGCGUUAUUCGGAAUUAUUGGGCGUAAAGGGCGCGUAGGCGGCUAGAUGUGUCAAAGGUGAAAUCCCUCGGCUCAACUGAGGAACUGCCUUUGAAACUGUCUGGCUUGAGGCCGGGAGAGGGUAGCGGAAUUCCCAGUGUAGCGGUGAAAUGCGUAGAUAUUGGGAGGAACACCAGUGGCGAAGGCGGCUACCUGGACCGGUUCUGACGCUGAGGCACGAAAGCGUGGGGAGCAAACAGG
rnacentral:rRNA from 1 species